rnacentral:rRNA from 1 species
UACGUAGGGCGCAAGCGUUAUCCGGAAUUAUUGGGCGUAAAGAGCUCGUAGGCGGUUUGUCGCGUCUGCCGUGAAAGUCCGGGGCUCAACUCCGGAUCUGCGGUGGGUACGGGCAGACUAGAGUGAUGUAGGGGAGACUGGAAUUCCUGGUGUAGCGGUGAAACGCGCAGAUAUCAGGAGGAACACCGAUGGCGAAAGCAGGUCUCUGGGCAUUAACUGACGCUGAGGAGCGAAAGCAUGGGGAGCGAACAGG